rnacentral:rRNA from 1 species
AGUGAACGCUGGCGGUAGGCCUAACACAUGCAAGUCGAACGGCAGCACAGUAAGAGCUUGCUCUUACGGGUGGCGAGUGGCGGACGGGUGAGGAAUACAUCGGAAUCUACUUUUUCGUGGGGGAUAACGUAGGGAAACUUACGCUAAUACCACAUACGACCUACGGGUGAAAGCAGGGGAUCUUCGGACCUUGCGCGAUUGAAUGAGCCGAUGUCGGAUUAGCUAGUUGGCGGGGUAAAGGCCCACCAAGGCGACGAUCCGUAGCUGGUCUGAGAGGAUGAUCAGCCACACUGGAACUGGGACACGGUCCAGACUCCUACGGGAGGCAGCAGUGGGGAAUAUUGGACAAUGGGCGCAAGCCUGAUCCAGCCAUACCGCGUGGGUGAAGAAGGCCUUCGGGUUGUAAAGCCCUUUUGUUGGGAAAGAAAAGCAGCAGGUUAAUACCCCGCUGUUCUGACGGUACCCAAAGAAUAAGCACCGGCUAACUUCGUG